UUCGUAGCUCAGUCGGUAGAGCAGAGGACUGAAAAUCCUCGUGUCGGUGGUUCGAUUCCGCCCGA
rnacentral:tRNA from 1 species